rnacentral:rRNA from 1 species
AUUGAACGCUGGCGGCAGGCCUAACACAUGCAAGUCGAGCGGAUGACGGGAGCUUGCUCCUUGAUUCAGCGGCGGACGGGUGAGUAAUGCCUAGGAAUCUGCCUGGUAGUGGGGGACAACGUUUCGAAAGGAACGCUAAUACCGCAUACGUCCUACGGGAGAAAGCAGGGGACCUUCGGGCCUUGCGCUAUCAGAUGAGCCUAGGUCGGAUUAGCUAGUAGGUGAGGUAAUGGCUCACCUAGGCGACGAUCCGUAACUGGUCUGAGAGGAUGAUCAGUCACACUGGAACUGAGACACGGUCCAGAGUCCUACGGGAGGCAGCAGUGGGGAAUAUUGGACAAUGGGCGAAAGCCUGAUCCAGCCAUGCCGCGUGUGUGAAGAAGGUCUUCGGAUUGUAAAGCACUUUAAGUUGGGAGGAAGGGCAGUAAGUUAAUACCUUGCUGUUUUGACGUUACCGACAGAAUAAGCACCGGCUAACUCUGUGCCAGCAGCCGCGGUAAAAC